rnacentral:rRNA from 1 species
GACGAACGCUGGCGGCGUGCUUAACACAUGCAAGUCGAACGGAAAGGCCCUGCUUUUGUGGGGUGCUCGAGUGGCGAACGGGUGAGUAACACGUGAGUAACCUGCCCUUGACUUUGGGAUAACUUCAGGAAACUGGGGCUAAUACCGGAUAGGAGCUCCUGCUGCAUGGUGGGGGUUGGAAAGUUUCGGCGGUUGGGGAUGGACUCGCGGCUUAUCAGCUUGUUGGUGGGGUAGUGGCUUACCAAGGCUUUGACGGGUAGCCGGCCUGAGAGGGUGACCGGCCACAUUGGGACUGAGAUACGGCCCAGACUCCUACGGGAGGCAGCAGUGGGGAAUAUUGCACAAUGGGCGGAAGCCUGAUGCAGCAACGCCGCGUGCGGGAUGACGGCCUUCGGGUUGUAAACCGCUUUCGCCUGUGACGAAGCGUGAGUGACGGUAAUGGGUAAAGAAGCACCGGCUAACUACGUGCCAGCGGCCGCGGUGAUACGUAGGGUGCGAGCGUUGUCCGGAUUUAUUGGGCGUAAAGGGCUCGUAGGUGGUUGAUCGCGUCGGAAGUGUAAUCUUGGGGCUUAACCCUGAGCGUGCUUUCGAUACGGGUUGACUUGAGGAAGGUAGGGGAGAAUGGAAUUCCUGGUGGAGCGGUGGAAUGCGCAGAGAUAUGGAGGAACACCAGUGGCGAAGGCGACUUUCUGGUCUGUAACUGACGCUGAUGUGCGAAAGCGUGGGGAUCAAACAGGAUUAGAUACCCUGGUAGUCCACGCCGUAAACGAUGAGUGCUAAGUGUUAGGGGGUUUCCGCCCCUUAGUGCUGCAGCUAACGCAUUAAGCACUCCGCCUGGGGAGUACGGCCGCAAGGCUUAAACUCAAAGGAAUUGACGGGGACCCGCACAAGCGGUGGAGCAUGUGGUUUAAUUCGAAGCAACGCGAAGAACCUUACCAAAUCUUGACAUCCUUUGACCGCUCUAGAGAUAGAGUCUUCCCCUUCGGGGGACAAAGUGACAGGUGGUGCAUGGUUGUCGUCAGCUCGUGUCGUGAGAUGUUGGGUUAAGUCCCGCAACGAGCGCAACCCUUAAGCUUAGUUGCCAUCAUUCAGUUGGGCACUCUAAGUUGACUGCCGGUGACAAACCGGAGGAAGGUGGGGAUGACGUCAAAUCAUCAUGCCCCUUAUGAUUUGGGCUACACACGUGCUACAAUGGACAAUACAAAGGGCAGCGAAACCGCGAGGUCAAGCAAAUCCCAUAAAGUUGUUCUCAGUUCGGAUUGUAGUCUGCAACUCGACUACAUGAAGCUGGAAUCGCUAGUAAUCGUAGAUCAGCAUGCUACGGUGAAUACGUUCCCGGGUCU